rnacentral:rRNA from 1 species
GAUGAACGCUGGCGGCGUGCUUAACACAUGCAAGUCGAACGGAAAGGCCCUGCUUGCAGGGUACGCGAGUGGCGAACGGGUGAGUAACACGUGGGUGAUCUGCCCUGUACUUUGGGAUAAGCCUGGGAAACUGGGUCUAAUACCGAAUAUGACAAUUGUUCGGAUGCGAUUGUGGAAAGCUUUUGCGGUAUGGGAUGAGCUCGCGGCCUAUCAGCUUGUUGGUGGGGUAAUGGCCUACCAAGGCGUCGACGGGUAGCCGGCCUGAGAGGGUGUACGGCCACAUUGGGACUGAGAUACGGCCCAGACUCCUACGGGAGGCAGCAGUGGGGAAUAUUGCACAAUGGGCGCAAGCCUGAUGCAGCGACGCCGCGUGGGGGAUGACGGCCUUCGGGUUGUAAACUCCUUUCGCAACCGACGAAGCCUUUUGGUGACGGUAGGUGGAGAAGAAGCACCGGCUAACUACGUG